CGAUUAGCCUUAAAGCGCAAAGGGAAAUGAUUCGGUGAGAGCGAUGAGAGCAGCAAACGGAAUCCAAUCCACCACGAUGAGCAGCGGCGGCGGCGGCCGGAAGGCGGCGGGGCCCGGCGGCGAGGAGGCGGAGGUGGAGGCGCUGCUCCGGGCGGCGCAGGACGCCGUGCUGCUUAAGCUCCAGGCCAACUCCCACCUCGUCUCCUCCACCUCAUCCGCCUCCGCCUCCGCGCCGACCGUUCCGCUCGACGACGCCACGGCGCCCGAUCCACUGGAGGACGACCUCGCCCGCCGCUUCGACGCGCUCAAGUCCCGCGCGGCGGCGCCGACGCCGAAGCCGGCCGGGGCUGGAGCGGCUACUGCUGCUGCUAGCGGGAUGGACGAACUCGCGGCGCGGUUCGCGGCGCUGAAGGGUGGGGCGGGGCCGGAGAAGGAGGCGAGGGUGAGGCUGGAGGAUCUGGGAGGGGAGUCGUCGGAGGAUGAGGAGGACGAGGUGGACAAGGUGAUGCGGUGGGCGAUGGACGCCGCGCGGCUCGACGUCGCUACGGCGGGCGCCGGCGCCGGCGACAAGGCGAAGCGCGCCGAGGCGGAGGAAGAGGAGGAUGAGAAGAGCAGCGUGGACGACGACGAUGACGACGAGAGGCUGCAGCUGGAGAUGGCGAGGAAGAAGGAGAUGGCCAAGAACAAGACCAAGAGCAAGUGGUUCUUCCUGUGAUGUCCUAUGUAAAUCUCAAAAACCAAUCCCAAAUUCGUCCCCAUGAUUUGUAAUGUUACAAGCUUGCACUUUGAUAUUCGAUGAAUCCUGAUGAACAUGAUCGCCUGACACUUUCAAAAAA
rnacentral:lncRNA from 1 species